rnacentral:tRNA from 1 species
GGGAUAGUGGCACAACGCAUAGCGCGCCUGACUACGGAUCAGGAGAUUCCAUGUUUGAAUCCUGGCUGGCUCUA